GACUCAUGUAGUGUUCUGACUUUUAAGUGUGAGGAGUAACACAAGUAGAGCUGGUGUGAAUAUGACCAAUGAUCACAUCCAAAUGUCAACUACUGCUUGAAAUUUUCAUUUUCACAUUCUGAGAUAUUGCUGGUCUGUGUCCAUACCACUGUGUGUUCCUCUCAAUUCUGUCUGUCCUGACUUCUGUGCAGAAUGCGAUCCUGGCCAUGUCCAACUGCUUUUUUUGCACAACACCCUCCUUGGUACUAACGACCAGCGGCUACAGAUAUUGGAAACAUGUUUGGUGCGGUUCCGAAAGGCUGUGGCAAGUCGGUAUUCAGGUCGAAUGCAUGAUAUGCUGUCAUACUUCAUUGGCUCAAAGUACACCACUGGCAUUUCUCUGGUUGAUGGUUUGCAAGUUCAAGCAUUCUGCAUAUUCAACCGAGACUAUGAACCAGUGGAGACUGACGCGUAUCCAGCUGAUGUGUACAAUGGUGUAUCAGUAGAUAUGUCAGCAGCUAGACGUCAUGGUUUCAGUGUUGUGGCAUGUCGGGGUGUGAGUGACACACAGUUACUACGUCAUCCGGCUUGUGCACCUAUCGGGUAUACCACUCUUGAGGCAUUGGCACUCAAAUCUCAAGGAUGCUAUAUUAUUCCGAUGGUACUCAAACAUGGCGCUCGGUACUCGCAGAGAAGCAGACACUUUAUUCCGGAUUUGCUGAUCAAUUAUCCGCAUCACAUUGGCGUGUUCAAAGACCUGUUGCCGGCCAAGCAGUGAUGAAUAUACACACUGAUGUCAUACUUAACACUAUGGUACCUCGGAACAGCAGAAUACUAUGCCGAAUUGUGCAGGAAGUGUGUGAUAAUAUCAUGGGAGACUGGAAUAUGGUGUCCAUCUUUUGAUUUUUUUAAAGUUAAUAUUUCUCCGAUUCCUUCCUUUUGCUGCUGAGCUGAGUAGCUGAGUAGCAAGAGUAACCGAGAAACUGAGCAACCGAGUAACUGAGUACAUCGAAUGUGAGAGGGUAGUGCUGCUAGUGCUAGUGUAGUAUGCAUUGAUUUGUGUUUUUCAAAUCAAGGCAUUGUUGAGUUUGUGUGUGUGAUUACUUUACUUCCAAUUUUCUUUUUUUCUGUUCUGAGUGCGUAUACAAUGUACAUGUACGUUGAUAUUGUGAAUCCUCCACAUGUGUAUUCAGCUUCCAUUGUGCGUGAGUGUGUGUGCUUGUACAUCUAUUUCCCAUGAAGUUCGUUUUUCUUUGUGUGGGUAUAUACGUUGAUAUUGUGAAUCCUCCACAUUUG